UACGAAGGGUGCAAGCGUUAAUCGGAAUUACUGGGCGUAAAGGGUGCGUAGGCGGUUGUUUAAGUCUGUCGUGAAAUCCCCGGGCUCAACCUGGGAAUGGCGUUGGAUACUGGACAGCUAGAGUGUGUCAGAGGAUGGUGGAAUUCCCGGUGUAGCGGUGAAAUGCGUAGAGAUCGGGAGGAACAUCAGUGGCGAAGGCGGCCAUCUGGGACAACACUGACGCUGAAGCACGAAAGCGUGGGGAGCAAACAGG
rnacentral:rRNA from 1 species